UGCGAGUCGAAUGUAGCAAUACAUGGCGUACUGCUCAGUAACACGUGGACAACCUGCCCUUAGGACGGGUAUAAACCCGGGAAACUGGGUAUAAUUCCCGAUAGGUCUCGUCUGCUGGAAUGCAUCGAGAUCCAAAGCUCCGGCGCCUAAGGAUGGGUCUGCGGCCUAUCGGGUAGUAGUGGGUGUAGCGUACCUACUAGCCUACGACGGGUACGGGUUGUGAGAGCAAGAGCCCGGAGAUGGAUUCUGAGACACUAAUCCAGGCCCUACGGGGUGCAGCAGGCGCGAAAACUUUACAAUGCUGGGAACAGCGAUAAGGGAACCUCGAGUGCCAGGUUACAAAUCUGGCUGUCGUGAUGCCUAAAAAGCAUUAUAUAGCAAGGGCCGGGCAAGACCGGUGCCAGCCGCCGCGGUAACACCGGCGGCUCGAGUGGUAACCGUUAUUAUUGGGUCUAAAGGGUCUGUAGCCGGCCGGAUAAGUCUCUUGGGAAAUCUGGCAGCUUAACUGUCAGGCUUUCAGGGGAUACUGUCUGGCUCGAGGCCGGGAGAGGUGAGAGGUACUUCAGGGGUAGGGGUGAAAUCUUGUAAUCCUUGAAGGACCACCAGUGGCGAA
rnacentral:rRNA from 1 species